UAGCAGGGUAGAAAACCCCAUGUUUGUUGUAUGCCUGCUGUAUAAGUGGCUCUAUUCCAAAACGUGACUAAUUAAUCUCCCUCACAGAUCAAGACGGAGUAUUACUUUUAAUGGAGCCGGCUACGACUGAACAUCCUCCAGUUUCUGAGGCCGAUGAAAAUAUUGCCAUGCAUGGGUCACCUGAAAGAACUGAGACCGGUCGAGGAAGUGGUGGGUACAUCAAGGUCACAAUAUGAGCACUUGACGACUAAAGAAUUAUGCCGUGUCCAUCUUCAGCUGGAAAUCGCUAAGGCUGAUUUGGAAUUGGAGUACACGAAGCUGCUGAUAGAGGUAAAAAAGGAGGUUGGGCAGAAAUUCAAAGUGGACAUGAUAUUGCUAUUCAAGGUAGUAAUUAUAUUAUUUUUCCUCCCUCAGCAACUAAAGAAUAAAAAUGAAGGAUGAAA